rnacentral:rRNA from 1 species
GACGAACGCUGGCGGCGUGCUUAACACAUGCAAGUGGAGCGACGAACCAGGCUUCGGCCUGGGGCAGAGCCGCGAACGGGUGAGUAACACGUGGGUAACCUGCCCUGAUGAUCGGGACAACCCGGGGAAACCCGGGCUAAUACCGAAUGUGCUGCUCUCGCAUCAGUGAGAGUAGGAAAGGAAGCUUCGGCCUCCGCAUCAGGAUGGGCCCGCGGCCCAUUAGCUUGUUGGNGAGGUAACGGCUCACCAAGGCUUCGAUGGGUAGCUGGUCUGAGAGGACGAUCAGCCACACUGGGACUGAGACACGGCCCAGACUCCUACGGGAGGCAGCAGUGGGAAUCUUGCGCAAUGCGCGAAAGCGUGACGCAGCAACGCCGCGUGGGGGAAGACGGCCUCGG